AUGAGGAGAGACACAAAGAGGAGAAAGAGUAGAGAGACGGGAGAGAGAGAGACAGGAGAGAGAGAGACAGAUCUGCGUGUGGCAGAGGAGCAAAGACCAGACGACAAACAAGAAGUUAAAGUCGGUGGAGCUGAACGCUAUCAGGACGGAGCAGGCGGCCGCCCAGCCCACACACACACACACACACACACACACACACACACACACACACACAUGCACACACACACACACACACACACACACACACACCUAAAGAGGACGCUCCCCAGCUGUGUUGGAGCUGAGGCGCUUCGAGUGGCAGCUGUGAAGACGCGUUCCUCCUGCAGCAGCAGCACAGAGCAGGGAAGUUAGCGUGAGUCUGGGACAGAGCACAGGAAUCACAGAACCCAGAGCAGCACCAGGAGGCGGGUCAGAUGAACGGGUUUGGGCCCAGAGGAGGUUCAGCAGAGCUGGUUCUGGUUAAGGUGCUCCACACAUUCCUCACAUCACUGCCUUUAAUGGUGUAAAUUGGUUUCAGCAUCUGUUCUCCUUCCACACGUCGCCUCUAAUGACUUUCCCUGAGUGCAUGUGCAGAUGUUGACGAGCUGCUGAAUGUGGCUGCAAGAAAGAAUUCAUCGUGAAAAUGAAGUGAUAGAUUAAACGAUUCAUGAGGUCACAGAGGAAAACGAAUGGGCCCAAAGUCACUUUGUGUCUCUCUCCCAGUCUGCAUCUCAUACACCAGGUGGCCUUUUUAUUAGGAACACCUGUAGAAUGGGCCGUAAUCCAGGAGUCACUUGUAUUAAAGCUUAGUCAGGACUCAUUUACUCCCGUCUUAUUAGGAUCAACUUUACCUGUAACUGGUUGAGGUUCAGGUGUAACAGUGCAGACUCUCCCCCUUCUGAAGUGGACCAUGGUUUAAGCUGUGGUGGGUUCUGGACGGGCUCAGCCUCCCUCAGUUCUGAUGGAAACUACAGCUGAGCGAAUAUCUGCAGACUUCAGCGCCUUCGCCCGCUCUAACUGCAGUAGAUGCAGCUGUUCAGGUCCCAGCGACCGCUCGUCCUGACUGUUCUCAUGACUCAAACAGACCGGAUCCUGUUCCUCGUUUCAGGGGGAGUCACCAGGAGUCAGCGUCCCCUCAGGCAUCGCCCCGAGAACAGAGAAGUAAAGGAGGGUUCAACCCUGAGCAUUCAGAUCUGUCACGUCUGCGUCACAGGAUGCAGACAGUCAUUAAAAUCAAAGUGCUGAGAGCCGAACAUGCUUUACAUUGAAGUCAAACACAAGCCAUUCAGCAUCAGGAGGGAGCCUUUCCAUUGUUCCGUCACGUUUGCAGUGGGUCCGAAGGCUGAGAACCCGUCAGAACCAUGAAGUGAAC
rnacentral:lncRNA from 1 species